rnacentral:rRNA from 1 species
UAGGGAAUCUUCGGCAAUGGGGGCAACCCUGACCGAGCAACGCCGCGUGAGUGAAGAAGGUUUUCGGAUCGUAAAGCUCUGUUGUAAGAGAAGAACGUGUGUGAGAGUGGAAAGUUCACACAGUGACGGUAACUUACCAGAAAGGGACGGCUAACUACGUGCCAGCAGCCGCGGUAAUACGUAGGUCCCGAGCGUUGUCCGGAUUUAUUGGGCGUAAAGCGAGCGCAGGCGGUUUAAUAAGUCUGAAGUUAAAGGCAGUGGCUUAACCAUUGUUCGCUUUGGAAACUGUUAAGCUUGAGUGAAGAAGGGGAGAGUGGAAUUCCAUGUGUAGCGGUGAAAUGCGUAGAUAUAUGGAGGAACACCGGUGGCGAAAGCGGCUCUCUGGUCUGUAACUGACGCUGAGGCUCGAAAGCGUGGGGAGCAAACAGG